GAUGAACGCUAGCGGCAGGCCUAACACAUGCAAGUCGAACGGUAACAGUUCCUUCGGGAAGCUGACGAGUGGCGCACGGGUGCGUAACGCGUAUGCAACCUACCUCUAUCAGGGAGAUAGCCCGGAGAAAUCCGGAUUAAUACCCCAUAGUAUUACUGAUUGGCAUCUAUUAGUAAUUAAAGCUUCGGCGGAUAGAGAUGGGCAUGCGUCCUAUUAGUUAGUUGGUGAGGUAACGGCUCACCAAGACAGCGAUAGGUAGGGGGCCUGAGAGGGUGAUCCCCCACACUGGUACUGAGACACGGACCAGACUCCUACGGGAGGCAGCAGUGAGGAAUAUUGGUCAAUGGACGAAAGUCUGAACCAGCCAUGCCGCGUGCAGGAUGACGGCCCUAUGGGUUGUAAACUGCUUUUAUACAGGAAUAAACCACCGAACGUGUUCGGUGCUGAAGGUACUGUAAGAAUAAGGAUCGGCUAACUCCGUGCCAGCAGCCGCGGUAAUACGGAGGAUCCAAGCGUUAUCCGGAUUCAUUGGGUUUAAAGGGUCCGCAGGCGGGGUAUUAAGUCAGUGGUGAAAGCCGGCAGCUUAACUGUCGAAUUGCCAUUGAUACUGGUACUCUUGAGUGUAGUUGAAGUAGGCGGAAUAAGUCAUGUAGCGGUGAAUGCAUAGAUUUGACUUANAACACCGAUUGCGAAG
rnacentral:rRNA from 1 species